rnacentral:rRNA from 1 species
UCCUGAAGGAACGUUGAAGACGACGACGUUGAUAGGUCGGGUGUGUAAGUGUAGCGAUACAUUGAGCUAACCGAUACUAAUGAACCGUGAGGCUUAACCUU